CCUUCACCUCAGCCUGAGCUAUCACCUGCCACCCCAAAGCCUCUGGCAACACCGUCCUGACCCCAAAACGCCCGCUAAAAUUACUACCCUUCUUUCUCCUAGGUCACACCCAGUGGUUUCCUCUUAGCCCCGCCCCCUCGGCACAGCCUUCGCAGCAGGCCCCGCCCCCGCUUCGCAAAGGACACGCCCCGGAAGCCCCGCCCCCUAACCAGCCUCCGCUUCCUCAAAUCCCACCCGGUGUUUUCCAGCAGCUCCUCCAGCUAGGAGUCUCUUUUGCUUCCAGGCCUUUCCGGAAGAGACCUCUUGAUUGGCUGAGCUUCUCCAUCUACCUGCGGCCGUAGGAGGGCGGGCACCGGCUCCAAGGAGAUGAGCACGAAGUCCUCUGGGCGGGGCGCGAGGCCCGACACCCUGCAGGGUGUUGUGCUCAGGGCGACUGGGAAAGGGAGAACCCACAAACUGGUGUGAUGCCCAGGCGGCCCGGCUCCAACAUAACGGCUCGAUGCCCAACAUGGGGCCUGAACUCGAUGACCCAGAGAUCAAGAGUCAUACGCUCCACCGACUGAGCCCCAAGAGCAUGAGAGAUAGGGAGAGCCGGAACACAAGUAGGGGGAGUGGAAGAGGGAGAAGCAGGCUUCCUGCCGAGAAGAGAGCCCGACUGGGGCUCGAUCCCAGGACCCUGGGAUCAUGACCUGAGCCGAAGGCAGAUGCCCAACGACUGAGCCACCCAGCUGCCGCCUGAAUAAAUCUUUUGAAGGUACCUAGGCAACCAGCAGAGGAAGGGGUAUGAGUUGGGAGUCAGUGAUACCUGCCUCUUCCCUGACCCGGGCAAUGUGUUGACAGGAUUAUCACAGGGGUAACUCAGUGCCCUUCACCCCUACUUGCCCCAUCACCCACAGUACUAAGUAUCUUCACUUUGUUCUGCAGCCAAGCCCUCCAAUGAGACCUAACCAGAAUUAGGGACAUUCAUCAAACUUUCAUCCUUGUACUUGAGCCGUGUGGGCAAUACUGGACUCAGCUUGAGAUCCCAUCUUUUCUUUUCUUUCUUUUUUUUUUUUUUUUAAAGAUUUUAUUUAUUUAUUUGACAGAGAGAGGCACAGUGAGAGAGGGAACACAAGCAGGGGGAGUGGGAGAAGGAGAAGUAGGCUUCCCGCCGAGCAGGGAGCCUGAUGUGGGGCUCGAUCCCAGGACCCUGAGAUCAUGACCUGAGCCGAAGGCAGAUGCUUAACGACUGAGCCACCCAGGCACCCCGAGAUCCCAUCUUUUCAAGAUAUCUUCCAAGCCACACAGUAUUGCAUAGAAAUUAAAAUUAAUGUAAGCAACAUUUCAUUUUUUGAAAAAUAACUAUAUUUUCAAAACAAAAAAAAUAUAGUGAUAAUUAGUGGCAUUGUUUUAUAUUUUCCCAAAUUCCUUUAAUGUCUGGCUUAAUAGAAGACAGAUGGAUUCUCACAUCUGCUUCUUUUUUCAAGCUAUUAUGAGAUGUUGUCUUGCUUGUGUGAAGAAAAUGCCUCACACAGGUAUGAGUUCAUGGAAUUUCAUUGGCUAUGGUGAGGUCUUUGUAUUUUAUUCUUAGUGUGAUGGGAAGCCAUUGAUGGGUUUUAAGCAGAGGAAUGUUCUGAUAUGAUUCUACUUCUUAGAGGCUUAUCCUGCCUACUCAGUGGAGAAGGGACCACAGGGGAUCAAAGUGGGAGCAGGGAGGAGGGUGUGGGUAUGGUCCCAUAGGAGAUGAUGGUGCCUUGACAAAGGUAGUGGUGGAUGUAGCUGGAGAGAAAUGCUGGGUCAACAGAAUUUUGCUAAAACGAGGGUAGGAAAUUAGGGACAAGAAAAAAAAAGAGUCAAAGCUGGCCCAAAUUUUUGCAUGAGCAGUGGUGUGGCUGAUAGAACCAUUUUCCUAGAGGGGGCAAUGGGAAAUCGAGAGUUCUGCUUCUGACCUUUAAGUAGAGCUUCCUCUUAGCCAGUUAGACUUGUGAGCCUGAAGAUCAAGAGGAAUGUUGGGGUUGGAGAUACAUGUUGGGAAUAUCAUCAGCAUAUAGAUGGUAUAUUUAAAACCAAGGGACUAGAGAGAUUACCCCCUGUACAGUAGAGGGCUGCUGGAGUGGUAACAUAGGCUGUUUAGGAAGGUGAAGCAAUCCUGUUUCUGCAGGUUCAGAAGAGAUCGGAAUGAAGGUGAGUCAGAGUUUGGGCACAGAGACUGAAUGCAUGCCACACUUCAGAAUUGCCAUGCCUACUGGACCUAGAUUAAAAAAAAUUUUUUUUUUAAAGAUUUUAUUUAUUUAUUUGACAGAGAGAGACACAGUGAGGGAGGGAAUACAAGCAGGGGGAGUGGGUGAGGGAGAAGCAGGCUUCCGGCUGAGCAGGGAGCCCGAUAUGGGGCUUGAUCCCAGCAUCCUGGGAUCAUGACCUGAGCUGAAGGCAGAUGCUUAACGACUGAGCCACCCAGGUGCCCCCCAAUUUUUUUUUUUUAAGUAACUCUAUGCCCAACGUGGUAAGGCUUAAACUCAUGACCUUGAGAUCAAGAGUCACAUGCUCUACUGACUGAGCCAGCCAGACACCCCUGAAAUUUCUUGUUUUAGCUUUAAAUUUCCCACAUUGGGUGUAGAAGUUACUUAAAAAUAAAAUCUUAGUAAAUAAAUAAAUUAAUAAAUACCAAAAGAAAUUUCAUACUCAUAGUAGCAACUUUCCCCCCAAAAAAAGCUUGAAAAGCUUUGCUUCUGUGUCUGUGUAUUAAUAGAAGUCAGAUAAACAUCUACCAUUUUUUUAGCAUUUGUCAAGUGCUAACAGUGUGCUAAAGAUAUAAUCUCUAAUUCCGUAAUAGCCUUUCUUCUUUCUUAGACAGAAAUGACACCUUCAGCUUCAUUAAGUAACUUGGCCAAGGUCACACAGCUAAUAAAAGGCAGAGCUGAGAUUGAAUUUAAGUCUAUCUUCAAAACCAUACCCCUAACCAUUCUGUAGAUUUAUCUUCCUAGAGUGUCGGCAGGUGGUUUUCAAGGUUGUUGUUGUACCAAUGGCCAGAGGAUUUAGACUUGGUUAUCCUACUGUUGGAAGAACUGGAGGCACAGAGGGAGGAGCCCAGAACCCGGAAGAGGGGCAGCUGAGAUGGAUGAUUUUGCUCAGAGAUUGCCCUCCAGCAGGAUCAGCUGCUUCUGUUUGUCUUUAGGAAACAGAUGACAGACAUCACAAGGGCUCCUCUCUAAAAAGAGAUAGCAAAAAUUAACUGAAUCCUCCAAUGGACUUUCUCUGUAUGCCAAAUCUUAGUACAGCUGAUUGGUAGCCAUUGCUGUUUUCUCUUCUAUCUUAGCUGGUCUCUCUCUGAUCCUGAAACUUUGGAAGCAAGGGGAUCAGGGCUUGGGGAAAAUUUGUCAUGGCCAACCGAUGCCUGGGGAGCUCAGAGACAGAUCAGGUUCAGCCAGUCUUUGCUGACAAAAUCCAAAGGCAGAGAAACAAAUGGUCGUGAAACAAGAAAGGAGUUUAUUUCAGGGAAGCCAACACUGGGGAAGACAGUGGAUUAGCGUCUCAAAGGCUGUCUCCAAAGUGCUGAUACUCCCAUGUUCAUAUAAGGAAAAUGCAGGGCAAAGGUAGGUGGGUACGCGCAGGUAGGCGAGAAGGUCAAAUGGAUAACUGUCUUGCAGGCAAUCAUCAGUGGGGUUUUGCUGGCUCAGGACGGUCCUUAUUGCUUGAGGGGAUAGUUUGGUUUCCAUCAAGGGAUGCUUUGCCCUCAGGGUCUUCUGCAUGAGCCAAGAGACAAGCUGUAAUGAAGAACCCAACUAGAAAGUUUGAGGUCAAAAUGGAGGCAGCCAAAGCCCUCUUUUACCCUGGGAAGCCACUGGGUUCCAAAAAGGAGAGACAUAAUUAGACUUGAGUUUUGAAUACAUCACUCUUGGCAAAUAAGCACAUAAAAAGAUGUUCAAUGGGCGCCUGGGUGGCUCAGUUGGUUAAGUGACUGCCUUCGGCUUGGGUCAUGAUCCCAGGGUCUUGGGAUCGAGUCCCACAUCGGGCUCCCGGCUCGGCGGAGAGCCUGCUUCUCCCUCUGACCCUAUCCCCUCUCAUGCUGUUUCUCUCUCUCUCUCUCUCAAAUAAAUAAAUAAAUAAAAUCUUUAAAAAAAAAAAAAAAAGAUGUUCAACAUCAUUAGUCAUUAGGGAAGUGAAAAUUAAAACCACAAUGAGAUACUACUACACAUAUACUAGAAUAGCUAAAUAAACAAACCCUGCUGACAAUACAAAGUGCUGGUGAGGAUAUUAGAACAACUGGAAUUCUUAUCCCUGCAUAUGCAAUUAUAAUAUUUUACCAUACCACACAGGCACAAUAGGUGUAAAUGAACUCAAGAGCAUCGAUAAUAGUAAACUGUGGUAAAAUGACUAGGAAGAGAUGAGGGUAUCUUCUAGGAUUUUAUUUUACUCUUUUAAGAAAUCUCUCUACCCAACAUGGGGCUUGAACUCACAACCCCAAGAUCAAGAAUCAUAUGCUCUACCACCUGAACCAGCCAGGCACCCCAGGAAGUGAUGAGUAAUAAGUAUUUAUUAAUAAUUCUGACUCUAGGGGUGCCUGGGUGGCUCAGUCGGUUGGGCGUCUACCUUUGGGGCCCCGCGUCAGGCUCCCUGCUCCGCAAGAAGCCUGCUUCUCCCUCUCCCACUCCCCCUGCUUGUG